ACGAACGCUGGCGGCAUGCCUCAUACAUGCAAGUCGAACGCUCGCAAGAGCGUGGCGGAAGGGUGAGUAACGCGUAGGAAUCUGCCCUGGACUGUGGGAUAACCUGAGGAAACUCGGGCUAAUACCGCAUAUUGCCGAGAGGUGAAAGAUUUAUCGGUCCAAGAGGAGCCUGCGUAUGAUUAGCUAGUUGGUAGGGUAAUGGCCUACCAAGGCGACGAUCAUUAACUGGUCUGAGAGGAUGAUCAGUCACAAUGGAACUGAGACACGGUCCAUACUUCUACGGAAGGCAGCAGUAGGGAAUUUUGCGCAAUGGACGAAAGUCUGACGCAGCAAUGCCGCGUGUAGGAAGAAGCAUCUUGGUGUGUAAACUACUGUCGGCGGGGAAAAACAAAAUGAUUGUACCCGCAGAGGAAGCAUCGGCUAACUACGU
rnacentral:rRNA from 1 species